rnacentral:rRNA from 1 species
CCCUUAGAUGUCCUGGGCCGCACGCGCGUUACACUGAUGCAUUCAACGAGCUUAUAACCUUGGCCGAGAGGCCUGGGCAAUCUUGUUAACGUGCAUCGUGAUAGGGAUAGAUUAUUGAAAUUAUUAAUCUUGAACGAGGAAUUCCUAGUAAACGCAGAUCAUCAAUCUGCAUUGAUUACGUCCCUGCCCUUUGUACACACCGCCCGUCGCACCUACCGAUUGGAUGGCUUAGUGAGCUCUCUGGACUGUUGCACUUCGGGGGCAACCCUGUUGAGCAUACGGGAAGGAGAUCAAACUUGAUCAUUUAGAGGAAGUAAAAGUCGUAACA